GGCGCUGUGGCUUAGUUGGUUAAAGCGCCUGUCCUGUAAAGAGAAGAUCCUGAGUUCGACUCUCAGCGGUGCCU
rfam:Xenopus tropicalis strain Nigerian Chr03_contig_3577, whole genome shotgun sequence.